GACGAACGCUGGCGGCGUGCUUAACACAUGCAAGUCGAACGCUGAAGCUCAGCUUUUGUUGGGUGGAUGAGUGGCGAACGGGUGAGUAACACGUGAGUAACCUGCCUCCUUCUUUGGGAUAACGCCCGGAAACGGGUGCUAAUACUGGAUAUUCACUGGUCUUCGCAUGGGGGUUGGUGGAAAGGGUUUUUCUGGUGGGGGAUGGGCUCGCGGCCUAUCAGCUUGUUGGUGGGGUGAUGGCCUACCAAGGCUUUGACGGGUAGCCGGCCUGAGAGGGUAACCGGUCACAUUGGGACUGAGAUACGGCCCAGACUCCUACGGGAGGCAGCAGUGGGGAAUAUUGCACAAUGGGCGCAAGCCUGAUGCAGCGACGCCGCGGGAGGGAUGGAGGCCUUCGGGUUGUGAACCUCUUUCGCUCAUGGUCAAGCCGCAACAAUGGUUGUGGUGAGGGUAGUGGGUAAAGAAGCGCCGGCUAACUACGUG
rnacentral:rRNA from 1 species